GUUGGUGAGGUAACGGCUCACCAAGGCUACGACGGGUAGGGGACCUGAGAGGGUGGCCCCCCACAAUGGAACUGAAACACGGUCCAUACACCUACGGGUGGCAGCAGUAGGGAAUAUUGCACAAUGGGCGAAAGCCUGAUGCAGCAACGCCGCGUGUGCGAUGAAGGCCUUCGGGUCGUAAAGCACUUUUCUGAGAGAUGAGAAAGGACAGUAUCUCAGGAAUAAGUCUCGGCUAACUACGUGCCAGCAGCCGCGGUAACACGUAGGAGGCGAGCGUUAUCCGGAUUCACUGGGCGUAAAGCGCGUGCAGGCGGUUUGGUAAGUUGAUCGUGAAAGCUCCCGGCUCAACUGGGAGAGGUCGUUCAAUACUACCAAACUAGAGAGUAGAAGAGGAAAAUGGAAUUCCCGGUGUAGUGGUGAAAUGCGUAGAUAUCGGGAGGAACACCAGUGGCGAAGGCGAUUUUCUGGUCUAUUUCUGACGCUCAGACGCGACAGCUAGGGUAGUAAACGGGAUUAGAGACCCCGGUAAUCCUAGCCGUAAACGAUGUGAACUUGGUGUCGGUGGCUUAAACACCAUCGGUGCCGAAGCAAACGCGAUAAGUUCACCGCCUGGGGACUACGGCCGCAAGGUUAAAACUCAAAUGAAUUGACGG
rnacentral:rRNA from 1 species